GGAGGGCUUUAUACCUUUGAUGUUGAUUCACAGUACAGGUGCAAGAACAUUUAUGUGAAAGCCAAACACAGAAUCGAAUGUGUUUGCUGUCCCCAUUUUCAUCUCAUUCUCUUGACUUGGAAGAAACAUCUAAAUGACACCAUCCAAGAAAUUUUGCCAUCCAUAAAGUCUAUUGCUUCCAUUGAGCUGCCUGAUUACAACUAUGAAAAGGUCCUAAAGCAGUGGUAACUCUCAUAAGUCUUGGCUGAUCGGCUCAGUGGUAACUCUGAAGCAGUCCCCAGUGGUUGGAUCUUCUGGGGCAGUAGGAGCCAGGGUUCUUCUGCCCUUGGUGCAGAGACUAGCUCUGAUACUGCCUUCAGAGCUUUUACCAGGCACAGUGCCGGGACAGGCUGACAAAGCCAGAUUGUCAUGCUUCUGUCAUUCUGUGGAGUUGGUCUUAGAGCUUUUUACAUGUACCAUUUGGAUGAGAUACAUAAAGCUCUAUGGUGGCAGAGACACUAGGAGGUCUUCUACCGAUGAGAACAUCCCCAAACCACAGUGAAGAAGCCAAACUCAAUUCUAACUUCUCCAGUGUGCCGGUGUUCUUGAAAGAUCAUCAUUAAUUUGCAGAAUUUGCAUUCAAUGUUUUGGAGCAUCUGAUCUCAGGGAUGAGAAUAUCUUGUAGCAAAACUAUUUUGAUGGCCUUAUGCAACAAUGAAACUUCAGAAGAGGUAUACUCUCUGUUAUUUGGCAUAAUUUUUGACAAAUAUUGCUGU